UAAAAGGGGUCCCUGUAGCAGACGACAUUUACCUAUUUCACUUUUAAAUUACCAGUACAGCUCAUGUUUUUAUCUGUUAUCCAAAUACUUUUAAACACUUGAUAUUUAAAAGUCAGUGUGAUUAAAAACACACAAAAGCGUGUUGAUGUCAUUAGAGUCGCGUUAGCACUAACGUGACAUCCCGGACCGGCUGAGACUUUGAAGGGGAUUUCAGACCAAAGAACGUACGCUACUGCUACAGAGUUUAGUGCUGGGAUAGUGGAAGUAAACAUGACUACGAAACAAGAGGGCUACCUAUCUGAACAGGAAUAUACUGCUGCCAAAGGUGUUCAGAUGGAGAAGUGCGAGAAAGGAGGGGAAGCUGGUCUAAACUGAAGCUGGACCCAUUUCAGUAACUUAGCUGGAGGUGUUUCCCUGGGGAUUCCGAAAGGACAUCAUGCGGGCCCAGCAGCUCCGCUUUAGUGUGGCUUCAUCACCUCAUCCAUCUGACAUGGAAAAGGCCGCAGAUGGAGCGUUAUAAUAAGUGUGGAAAUCAGACAAAGCUGCUGUUGUGCAUAAUGCUGUUUCUACAUUCGCUUUAACUUUGGUGUAAAAAGCUGUGUUGAAAGUAGCCAUCCGUCAUUUCAAACUGGAGUGAAAAUGAACGCAAUCAUUUACACAUGUUGAAGCCACACUUUGCUCACGUCCGGCUCAUUUGCCAGCAUCUUUGCUACGUCCGUGCUAGCUAAAACAGCAACAGUGGCAGUUGGAGUUGAUUACAGUCAACUCCUAUCAAAACCUUUGUCGAUUAAUCGAGUAAUUGGAAAAAAAUAACAUAUUUUUACUUGU